GCCGACGUAGCUUAGUGGCCUAGAGCAGCCGGCUUGUAACCGGCAGGACAGGGGUUCAAUUCCCCUCGUCGGCU
rnacentral:tRNA from 1 species